UGAAUCUCACUUUCACGUGGUGGUAAAACAUGAAGUGGACUCAAACCCCUCCACAAGAGUUACCCUACGCGCCUCUCCCACAGAGGUAAAAUAAAUUAGCCGGGUUUAUCGAGCCCUUCUAAUAGGAUGGUCCACGGAAACCCACCACUGCAGUGUAGGUCAGCCCCACCAUAAUCAUAAAAUAGUUUAACAGCAUAACAAGGUAAUUUUUUUAUAAUAACUAAUUUGCACGACAAACCACAAUUCAUGUAAUUUCAAUACAAUAAACCAGCCAAGCAUGCUCACACUAUCAUAAGCCAUUUGAAUUAAAAAUACAAUUCAUACUUAACAACCACAGUCUCCAUGUACUCUAUUUAAAAAAAAUAACAUUCAUCAUUAAUUUCAAACAAUUUAUAAAACCAUUUUAUAAAAACACAUUUAUUUAUAAAACACGAAAUUUAUCCUUUUUAAAUCCAUUUUUCAUAAAAUUUAUAAAAUUUCAUAAAAACUACCUUAGAUAAAUUAAAUGAUAAUAAGUUUACUCACAGUAUUAGGAGUAGAAAUACUUCUAUCCUCCGCCCUCGGGUGCAGUCUCUUAUCCGAAACAAUUGACUCACCACCUGUCCAUAAUCCAUGACACAAAAUUCAAUAAAUUGUGUCAAUUUAUCAUAAAUUAUUUCAGGCUCUUAUCCAUGCGUAUGCACUAGAUAGGAUUUGAAAUGUCUAGACAAUCGCUUAAUUGCGGUGUCCGACCUAACUCGCCUAUACACGGUGUAAAGUCCUAAAAUCCCCAAUUCGACUCCAAUUCCAUCCAUUUCAAUUUCAAUUAUCCAAUUAUAUCCACAAUACCUCAAUGACUGUGAAUUUGGUCCAAUUUAUCAGUCCGGACUAUAAAUUACGCUUUUACCCCUAGUGGGUAAAAAUUUCAAUUUAUUGCACCGAAAAUUCCCAUUUAAUUUCCAACCUCAUAAUUCAUCAUUUUUCCACCCAAUUCUCUUAAAAUAAAGUCAACCUCAUCCUCACAUACCAUUGGCUAGAUUCGGCCUAGAGAAAUUCAUGGAGAAGAUAAAUAUUUUUCUUGUUGUUUUACUCAUAAACAUGCUAAACUAACACUAAACACUAACAUAGCUCAAAAUCAAAUUUAUCUAACAACUUUCUCUCUCUAAACCCAUAUGACCAGAAUUCAAAUCAUCCUCAAAUCACAUGAUUCAACCAUGAAAAAUGAUGGAAAAUGCAUGGGAAAGGUAAAGCACAAGACAAAUUUAAGAAAUGUUACCUUUUUUCACUUGAUUUUUGAAUUUCCACCUAUUUUCCCUUUAAAUUUCUUGGCUAGGGUUUUAUUUUCUCCUUUCUCUCUCUUAUUUCUUGCUUGGCCGAAUGUUGAAGAAGAAG
rnacentral:lncRNA from 1 species